CCUACGGGGUGCAGCAGUGCGGAAUAUUGGUCAAUGGACGGAAGUCUGAUCCAGCCAUGCCGCGUGCAGGAAGACGGCUCUAUGAGUGGUAAACUGCUUUUGUACAAGGGAAAACCUGAAUACGUGUAUUCAGCUGAAAGUCCCGUACGAAUAAAGAUCGGCUAACUCCGUGCCAGCAGCCGCGGUAAUACGGAGGAUCCAAGCGUUAUCCGGAUUUAUUGGGUUUAAAGGGUGCGUAGGUGGAUUGAUAAGUUAGAGGUGAAAUGUCCGGGGUUAACUCGGGAACUGCCUCUGAUACUGUUGAUCUAGAGAGUAGAUGCGGUAGGCGGAAUGUAUGGUGUAGCGGUGAAAUGCUUAGAGAUCAGGAAGAACACCGAUUGCGAAGGCAGCUUA
rnacentral:rRNA from 1 species